UGCCCACCUCUGCCUCCCAAAGUGCUGGGAUUACAGGUGUGAGCCACCGCACCCAGUCAGCUCACUUAAUUUUCAUGGAAUACAGUGGGCAUUAUGAUCCCAAUUUUACAAGUGAGAAAACUGAGAAGGAGAGAGGUCCCCAAAGUUGCCUAAAGUCACACAGUAAGUGGUAGAGUCAGGAUUCCAGCUGAAGUCUGCUUCCAAAUCCCACCUUCUAACCGCUGCCACUAGACUGCUGUGUCUGCUGGGGUGUUAGGUCACAGGAGAAAAGAGAUAAUGGCUUUGUGACCCGGGAGCUCCGCCUUCACCUCCUCCUGCCAUCCUCAGCAUGAGCCAGCUGCAUGAGGGGUGCUGUGUGCUGGGCUGGAGGAUGGAGCCAUGUGCCACUCCCUCCGAGGCACGCUGUGAAGGUGCAAGUGGUGUGUUCUGAGAGGGGAAGAUCACCAAACCGCCUAAGGCCGAGACUCCCAGGAUAGCGCAGCAUGCCCCGGAGUCCCCCAGCUCGAUUUGCUCAGAACUCAGAAAGAAAACAGCCCACACUCCUUGAACUUCAGGCACUGAUGGAGGCAUUUUCCAAAGAACAGUGACAAGGACGGCCAGCACCUCUCUUGCAUUCCUCAGUCUGACUCAAGCUGCUCUUCCACCCUCCUCCCCAGCUGGAGCUGAGGCUGAAGGCAGUUGAGGGCCACCAGGGAGAAGAGCUGGGUCAGGGCCGUGACUUGCCAGCAAGCAUGAGGCCAAGCAGAUGUGCCGGAACAGCUGUGGUGACAGAGCUGUGGCCAACUGCUCCCUGGGCCGAGGGUGAAGGAAGCUGUGCUCCCACUGGUGCUAGGGAAGGCUGCUGCAGGGCUGGAGGCCUGGGUGCUGGACUGCUGGGGCAGGCUGCCUGCUGUACCCCCAAGCUGCAGUCAGGGCUCGCCCUGAGGCCCUGAGGUGGAGAGAGAGCAGCUGUCUCGUACACACCCAUGUGCACAAGUGCAGGCACACACACACACACACACACACACACAAAAGACGUUCUCACUUCAUCCCCGAAUUCUCCCUCCUACACACAAAGCUAGUUCCCAGUUCUCCAGUCCCCCUCCAUCCCUCUCCACUUCUGUAGUCUCUGCUGGGCUGCACUGGGGAUCUGGUCCCAAUUCCCCUCUCUUCCCUUGCUGCCCCUGUAACAAAGGGCUGGCCAUGUGACAUGAUCUCCUCAGGCUUCAGAGAAGUGAUUUUACCCUGAGCUACACAGGCAGGAAGACCACCAGCCUGGAAGGGCCCUUCAGCCACUUUCCCAACAAACAGCAAAUCUCCGCCGAUUGAACUCUGACUGAGGCAAUGGGGGCAUGCCAGGCAACAAGGUGGAGGUUUGCUACCGUGGGAGCAGGGAGAGCGUGGAACACAGACGCUCUGGGUGUUGAAGAGGAGGCUUCACCCUUAAAUCCACACCAACAGCCCCCUUCACUUCCCCCGGUGAAGAACGAAGGACCCUGUGGGAUUUCUACUUCAAAUCUCUCAUUUAUUCCGACAUCCACUCGGUUAUGACUCCAAGUUAUCAAAGAUGCAAGACAAGAAGUCUAGAGCAGGAGUGGUGAAGUGGAGGUGGAGAAAGACGGCGGAGAGGGCUGUGUUCCUGGCCCCUCCUUCUCUUCCAAUUUAGGGCACCGUUUGAAAAGUGUACAAGUAGUGUCCCUUAGCACAGACUAGACAGCAGAAAAGGACAGUGCAGUUGAGUGGGGGAAGCUUCCUUUUCCACAGGGUGGGGCCCUGCGGCUGCAGCGGGCAGGCAGGCAAUCUCGAGCCUGGUUGGAGACCGUGCCCUGAGCAGCGUGGGCUAUGUGGGGAAGAGCUGGGGCCCACCAUCUCUCCAGCACCCCAAACCCAGAUUCUGAUUUGUGGGGCUAGCAGGGCUUAGCUAGGAAAGCGGUAGGAGGGAGGGGAUUGCACAGGACGCUUGUACUCAGGGACCCCAUCAAUCAGGGGCAAGAAGUGGGUGAUGGUUAACUGGGUCUUGAUUUUUACAAAGGCAGGACGUACGAAUGAUGUUAUUUCUGGCAAGGAGGACACGGCUGCUGUGGUUGAUUGGCUGUGGAAUUCCAGGGGAGCAAGGCACUAGGAAGUGGGGAACGCUGCCAGGCCCAGCAGCUCAUCAGGAGCUUGCACUUGGCCCAGUUAGGGCUGGCCGUGGGACGGGCUUGUUGAAGCUGCUGCCGCCAUAAGCUGCCCCUCUGCACCAGGAGACAGAUCCCAUUACCCCACCUACAGCUGCUUCCUGGUACAAGAGAAGAGUUACCAUUUGAAAUGACUCCACAGGAGAGUCUGACAAACAUGUUUGCUUUUCACUGACAAUUAAAAUUGUUUUGCUGCUAA
rnacentral:lncRNA from 1 species